rnacentral:rRNA from 1 species
UACGGGGGGGGCAAGCGUUGUUCGGAAUCACUGGGCUUAAAGGGCGCGUAGGCGGGCUGCCGCGUCCGGGGUGAAAUCCUCCGGCUCAACCGGGGAACGGCCUCGGAUACGGGCGGCCUCGAGGGGGGUAGGGGCAUCUGGAACUGUGGGUGGAGCGGUGAAAUGCGUUGAUAUCCACAGGAACUCCGGUGGCGAAGGCGAGGUGCUGGACCCCAUCUGACGCUGAGGCGCGAAAGCCAGGGGAGCAAACGGG